UACGGAGGGUACGAACGUUAAUCGGAAUUACUGGGCGUAAAGCGCGCGUAGGCGGUUUGUUAAGUGGGAUGUGAAAGCCCCGGGCUCAACCUGGGAACUGCAUUCCAAACUGACAGACUAGAGUAUGGUAGAGGGUGGUAGAAUUUCCUGUGUAGCGGUGAAAUGCGUAGAUAUAGGAAGGAAUACCGAUGGCGAAGGCAGCCACCUGGACCAAUACUGACGCUGAGGUGCGAAAGCGUGGGGAGCAAAC
rnacentral:rRNA from 1 species